UACGUAGGUCCCGAGCGUUGUCCGGGUUCAUUGGGCGUAAAGCGAGCGCAGGUGGUUUAUUAAGUCUGGUGUAAAAGGCAGUGGCUCAACCAUUGUAUGCAUUGGAAACUGGUAGACUUGAGUGCAGGAGAGGAGAGUGGAAUUCCAUGUGUAGCGGUGAAAUGCGUAGAUAUAUGGAGGAACACCGGUGGCGAAAGCGGCUCUCUGGCCUGUAACUGACACUGAGGCUCGAAAGCGUGGGGAGCAAACAGG
rnacentral:rRNA from 1 species